rfam:Triticum aestivum genome assembly, contig: Triticum_aestivum_CS42_TGACv1_scaffold_591784_7BS
CAAAUACUCCCUUCGUCCGGAAAUACUUGUCAACAAAAUGGAUAAAAGGAAAUGUAUCUAGACGUAUUUCAGUUUUAGAUACAUCUCAUUUUAUCCAUUUUGAUGACAAGUAUUUUCAGACGGAGGGAGUAUUUA